UCCGGCCCCGCCCACACCGGUCGCGCUCUGCUCUGGAGCCCGCGCCACAGGGCCUUGGGUGCAGAGCAAGUCCGAGUUAAAACUCUCAAACGCUGGUAAUUUGUCUGGCUUUCAUUUUUGUUCAUCUCUUUUUGGGAUGCGUCAUUAAGAUUGUGAGCUUAAGGAUGAUGGCUUCGAAUGCCUUGAGUACCUGCGUGCCUUUUCUUUUAUAAGCUAUUUAACGUGCAGUGCCUUCUAUCUGAAAGCCUGAUUUAUUUGAGACGCAUUAAGGUCAUUUGGGGUGAUGGCUGUGCAGUUUUCGAGAGGACAGAAAAUGCAAGUUGCUUUUGUCUUCUGGUGACUUUGAAGGACCAUAAAAUGAACAAAAGCAGGAUUCUGCAGAGCCGACAACAUGGAGGUGAGCGGCACCUGGGAGGCCUUGAUGAUAAUGCAGGAGAGAGCGGCAAUACCAAAGCUCAAAGGGGUUGAAGUCCAGACUUAAGACCAUGAAGUUAAGAAGUAGCGACACUUCUAGUCAUGAUAAGUAUAAGAAGAAAAUUGAACCUGGGAAAGACAAAGUAAUUUUUCAAGAUAUGUGAGUAAUAAAUGGUAGAACAACUAUUUGAUACUAAUUCAGACUUCUUCGCCCUACGGCUCCACUUUUUCUCUGCAUUGUUAUUUUUAUGGUUUGAAUUCACAAACACAGUAUUUUCCCACUACUUACAGCCAGAACUUUUGACCUU